rnacentral:rRNA from 1 species
UACGUAGGGGGCUAGCGUUGUCCGGAUUUAUUGGGCGUAAAGAGCGUGUAGGCGGCCAGGUAGGUUUGCUGUGAAAACUCGAGGCUCAACCUCGAGACGUCGGCGGAAACCAUCUGGCUAGAGUCCGGAAGAGGAGAGUGGAAUUCCUGGUGUAGCGGUGAAAUGCGCAGAUAUCAGGAAGAACACCCGUGGCGAAGGCGGCUCUCUGGGACGGUACUGACGCUGAGACGCGAAAGCGUGGGGAGCGAACAGG